AUGUACUAUACCAUAGUGUUGAGUCAUGC
rnacentral:tRNA from 1 species